UACCCGCGCCACAAGUGGUAAUCGCGUUUAUUGGGUUUAAAGCGUCCGUAGCCGGUUUGCUAAGUCUUCGGUGAAAGGUCAUAGUCAACUAUGGCGAGUGCCGAAGAUACUGGCUCGCUAGAGACCGGGAGAAGUGUGGAGUAUUCCUGGGGUAGGGGUAAAAUCCUGUAAUCCCAGGAGGACUACCUGUGGCGAAGGCGCCACACUAGAACGGAUCUGACGGUGAGGGACGAAAGCUAGGGGAGCAAAAGGG
rnacentral:rRNA from 1 species